rnacentral:misc_RNA from 1 species
AACGCACAUUGCGCCCAUUAGUAUUCUAGUGGGCAUGCCUGUCCGAGCGUCAUUUCAACCCUUAAGCCCCUGUUGCUUAGUGUUGGGAGACUACGCCAGCGUAGCUCCUCAAAGUUAGUGGCAGAGUCAGUUCAAACUCUAGGUGUAGUAAAUCUCUUCUCGCCUCUGUAGUUGGGCUGCCCCUCGCCGUAAAACCCCUAAUUUUCCAAAGGUUGACCUCGGAUCAGGUAGGAAUACCCGCUGAACUUAA